rnacentral:rRNA from 1 species
GGUUGAUCCUGCCAGUAGUCAUAUGCUUGUCUCAAAGAUUAAGCCAUGCAUGUCUAAGUAUAAGCUUUUAUACAGCGAAACUGCGAAUGGCUCAUUAGAACAGUUAUAAUUUAAUUGAUAGUACCUUACUACAUGGAUAACCGUGGUAAUUCUAGAGCUAAUACAUGCACGAAAACCCUCCGGGGUUGUAUUUAUUAGGUAAAACCAACAGCUCGCACGCGAGUUUGGGUGAUUCAUGAUAACUUGGCGGAUCGUAUGGCCUUGCGCCGACGACGUAUCAUUCAAAUUUCUGG